CACCACAACAGGUGGAGCCUGCGGUUUAAUCGGACUCAACGCCGGGAAUCUCACCGGAUAAGACAGCUGGAUGAUAGCCGGGCUGAAGACUCUGCUUGACUAGCUGAGAGGAGGUGCAUGGCCGUCGUCAGUUCGUACUGUGAAGCAUCCUGUUAAGUCAGGCAACGAGCGAGACCCACGCCAACAGUUGCCAGCAUGUCCUCCGGGAUGAUGGGGACACUGUUGGGACCGCCUCUGCUAAAGAGGAGGAAGGAAUGGGCAACGGUAGGUCAGCAUGCCCCGAAUUAUCCGGGCUACACGCGGGCUACAAUGGUCAGGACAAUGGGUAUCAACACCGAAAGGUGAAGGCAAUCUCCUAAACCUGUCCUUAGUUCGGAUUGUGGGCUGCAACUCGCCCACAUGAAGCUGGAAUCUGUAGUAAUCGCGUCUCAAAAUGGCGCGGUGAAUACGUCCCUGCUCCUU
rnacentral:rRNA from 1 species